rnacentral:rRNA from 1 species
UCCGGAGCUAACGCGUUAAAUCGACCGCCUGGGGAGUACGGCCGCAAGGUUAAAACUCAAAUGAAUUGACGGGGGCCCGCACAAGCGGUGGAGCAUGUGGUUUAAUUCGAUGCAACGCGAAGAACCUUACCUGGUCUUGACAUCCACAGAACUUUCCAGAGAUGGAUUGGUGCCUUCGGGAACUGUGAGACAGGUGCUGCAUGGCUGUCGUCAGCUCGUGUUGUGAAAUGUUGGGUUAAGUCCCGCAACGAGCGCAACCCUUAUCCUUUGUUGCCAGCGGUUCGGCCGGGAACUCAAAGGAGACUGCCAGUGAUAAACUGGAGGAAGGUGGGGAUGACGUCAAGUCAUCAUGGCCCUUACGACCAGGGCUACACACGUGCUACAAUGGCAUAUACAAAGAGAAGCGACCUCGCGAGAGCAAGCGGACCUCAUAAAGUAUGUCGUAGUCCGGAUUGGAGUCUGCAACUCGACUCCAUGAAGUCGGAAUCGCUAGUAAUCGUAGAUCAGAAUGCUACGGUGAAUACGUUCCCGGGCCUUGUACACACCGCCCGUCACACCAUGGGAGUGGGUUGCAAAAGAAGUAGGUAGCUUAACCUUCGG